rnacentral:rRNA from 1 species
UAGGGAAUAUUGCAAAAUGGGCGAAAGCCCGAUGCAGCAACGCCGCGUGGGCGAUGAAGGCCUUCGGGUCGUAAAGCCCUUUUUGAGGGGAUGAGGAAGGACAGUACCCUCAGAAUAAGCCUCGGCUAACUACGUGCCAGCAGCCGCGGUAAAACGUAGGAGGCGAGCGUUAUCCGGAUUUACUGGGCGUAAAGCGCGUGCAGGCGGAUUGGAGAGUUGGAUGUGAAAGCUCCCGGCUUAACUGGGAGAGGUCGUUCAAUACUUCCAGUCUUGAGUGCAGUAGAGGGAAGUGGAAUUCCGGGUGUAGUGGUGAAAUGCGUAGAUAUCCGGAGGAACACCAGUGGCGAAAGCGGCUUCCUGGACUGGAACUGACGCUCAGACGCGAAAGCUAGGGUAGCAAA